AACGAACGCUGGCGGCAUGCCUAACACAUGCAAGUCGAACGAGACCUUCGGGUCUAGUGGCGCACGGGUGCGUAACGCGUGAGAAUCUGCCCUUGGGUUCGGAAUAACAGUUGGAAACGACUGCUAAUACCGGAUGAUGACGUAAGUCCAAAGAUUUAUCGCCCAAGGAUGAGCCCGCGUAGGAUUAGCUAGUUGGUGAGGUAAAGGCUCACCAAGGCGACGAUCCUUAGCUGGUCUGAGAGGAUGAUCAGCCACACUGGGACUGAGACACGGCCCAGACUCCUACGGGAGGCAGCAGUGGGGAAUAUUGGACAAUGGGCGAAAGCCUGAUCCAGCAAUGCCGCGUGAGUGAUGAAGGCCUUAGGGUUGUAAAGCUCUUUUACCCGGGAUGAUAAUGACAGUACCGGGAGAAUAAGCUCCGGCUAACUCCGUG
rnacentral:rRNA from 1 species